GACGAACGCUGGCGGUGUGCUUAACACAUGCAAGUCGAACGGUAAGGCCCUUCGGGGUACACGAGUGGCGAACGGGUGAGUAACACGUGGGUGAUCUGCCCUGCACUUCGGGAUAAGCCUGGGAAACUGGGUCUAAUACCGGAUAGGACUCCGGACUGCAUGGUCUGGGGUGGAAAGCUUUUGCGGUGUGGGAUGGGCCCGCGGCCUAUCAGCUUGUUGGUGGGGUGAUGGCCUACCAAGGCGACGACGGGUAGCCGGCCUGAGAGGGUGACCGGCCACCCUGGGACUGAGAUACGGCCCAGACCCCUACGGGGGGCAGAAGUGGGGAAUAUUGCACAAUGGGCGCAAGCCUGAUGCAGCGACGCCGCGUGAGGGAUGACGGCCUUCGGGUUGUAAACCUCUUUCAGCAUCGACGAAGCGAAAGUGACGGUAGGUGCAGAAGAAGCACCGGCUAACUACGUGCCAGCAGCCGCCGUAA
rnacentral:rRNA from 1 species